UCAGAUGGUUCUCAGAGGAAAACAAAAUCGAAUGAAAUGACUUUCGAAAUGGGCGUCUUUGACGUUGUUUCCAAAAUGUAUCUCGAUUUCGUAAUUUUGCAGAUCAGAGACUUCACGAGUUCACGUUCUAGCUAAUGCCAUAGCCAACCAAGGAGCACUUGUCUUUUCCCAGAUAACUGAAGGCGUCUGGAUAUGAUCUGCAGGGCGGCAGCGUAGCCUAGUGGUUAGAGCGUUGGACUAGUA